ACUGAGGGAAGGAUUGCAACUGUGUCCAGAGACAAGUUGGCUGAGUGCGCAAUUGAGACUGACUGGAAAGCCUGCUUCAUUCUAUUUAAUCCAUUCUAUACUAGUCUUUAUAUACAGUUUCUUCCAAUGUGGAAGGUAGAGGGCAUUGAUCAUUCUAGACUAUAAGCCUGUGGGAAGGCUUAUUCCCAAUGGGUGUUAAGGAAUUCCUAAUAGAUGGUAG